rfam:Planctomycetes bacterium RIFCSPHIGHO2_02_FTLL_38_41 rifcsphigho2_02_scaffold_162405, whole genome shotgun sequence.
GCGCCCGUAGCUCAGCUGGAUAGAGCAACGGUUUCCUAAACCGUAGGCCGGACGUUCAAAUCGUCUCGGGCGCA